rnacentral:rRNA from 1 species
ACGGCCAGGACUACAGGGGUAUCUAUCCCUUUCGCUCCCCCGGCUUUCGUCCAUGAGCGUCAGUAAUGGCCCAGCAGAGCGCCUUCGCCACUGGUGUUCUUCCCGAUAUCUACGCAUUUCACCGCUACACCGGGAAUUCCCUCUGCCCCUACCAUACUCAAGCUUUUCAGUUUCCACUGCCAUGAUGGAGUUAAGCUCCACGCUUUAACAGCAGACUUGAAAAGCCGCCUGCGGACGCUUUACGCCCAAUAAUUCCGGAUAACGCUUGCCACUCCCGUAUUACCGCGGCUGCUGGCACGGAAUUAGCCGUGGCUUAUUCCUCAAGUACCGUCAUAUCUUCUUCCUUGAGAAAAGAGGUUUACAGCCCAGAGGCCUUCGUCCCUCACGCGGCGUUGCUCCGUCAGGCUUUCGCCCAUUGCG